rnacentral:rRNA from 1 species
GACAGAGGCCUCAAGCGUUAGGCGGAAUCACUGGGCUUAAAGCGUGUGUAGGCGGAUCGUUAAGUGUCUUGUGAAAUCCCACGGCUCACCCGUGGAACGGCUGGGCAUACUGGCGAUCUUGGGCCAACUAGGGGCAACUGGAACAAGCGGUGGAGCGGUGAAAUGCGUAGAUAUCGCUUGGAACGCCGAAGGUGAAAACAGGUUGCUGGGGUUGUGCCGACGCUGAGACACGAAAGCCCAGGGGAGCAAACGGG